UACCAGCUCUUCGAGUGGUGUGGAUGUUUAUUGGGCCUAAAGCAUCCGUAGCUGGCUGGGCAAGUCCCCUGUUAAAUCCACCGAUUUAAUCGUUGGAGUGCGGGGGAUACUGUUCGGCUAGGGGACGGGAGAGGCAGACGGUAUUUUCGGGGUAGGGGUGAAAUCCUAUAAUCCCGAGAAGACCACCAGUGGCGAAGGCUGUCUGCUAGAACGCGCCCGACGGUGAGGGAUGAAAGCUGGGGGAGCGAACCGGAUUAGAUACCCGGGUAGUCCCAGCUGUAAACGAUGCAGGCUAGGUGUUUGGACGGCCACGUGCCGUUCUAGUGCCGCAGGGAAGCCGUUAAGCCUGCCGCCUGGGGAGUACGGCCGCAAGGCUGAAACUUAAGGAAUUGGGCGGGGAGCACCACAAGGGGUGAAGCUUGCGGUUU
rnacentral:rRNA from 1 species